AUUGAACGCUGGCGGCAGGCCUAACACAUGCAAGUCGAGCGAGCGGCGGACGGGUGAGUAAUGUCUGGGAAACUGCCUGAUGGAGGGGGAUAACUACUGGAAACGGUAGCUAAUACCGCAUACCAUCAGAUGUGCCCAGUUGGGAUUAGCUAGUAGGUUGGGUAACGGCUCACCUAGGCGACGAUCCCUAGCUGGUCGUAGAGGAUGACCAGCCAAACUUGAAAUGAGACACGGUCAAGACUCCUACGGAAGGCAGCAGUGGGGAAGAUUGCACAAUGGGCGCAAGCCUGAUGCAGCAAUGCCGCGUGUGUGAAGAAGGCCUUCGGGUUGUAAAGCACUUUAAGCGGGGAGGCGUUACCCGCUGAAGAAGCACCGGCUAACUCCGUGCCAGCAGCCGCGGUAAUUC
rnacentral:rRNA from 1 species